UGGGAUGAUGUCAAGUCAGCAUGGCCUUUAUAUCCUGGCUACACACACGCUACAAUGGCCAACACAAUAGGUUGCUAAGCCGCGAGGUGGCGCCAAUCCAUAAAGUUGGUCUCAGUUCAGAUUGUAGGCUGCAACCCGCCUGCAUGAAGAUGGAGUUGCUAGUAACCGCAGGUCAGCUAUACUGCGGUGAAUACGUUCCCGGGGCUU
rnacentral:rRNA from 1 species